UCUUGGAUCGCCAGAUACGUGGUACAAAUACAAAUUAAUUAUAUAACAAUCGUGUAAAAUACGACAAAACAUAUGCUGUGAGUUUUAAUACAAAUAUUGUCAUCUAGACAAUAUUCACACUCAAAAUAAAUCCUCAAUAUAUUUAUUAACACACUAUUUCAUAGAAUAGUGAGGACUACUAAUGCUAUCAUCUGGACCAUCACUCCGUCCCCCGACUAGUCUCUGCUACAUUCUCAUUUCCUGAAGAGAACAGUGAAAAAAAAGGUGAGCUCAACUAGCCCAGUAAGAAAUAUUAUGACUAAGAUAAUGCAGAAUAAAUUAUCAUUAGCCUUCAACAAUGUUAAACUGAUAAAAUACAAUAGACAACACGUUUAACUGCAGCGGAAUAAGCAAUCCAUUAAAAGAGUCAAGUAGAGAAUAAAAUCUACUAUCUUUUAUGAUUUAAAAGGUUUUUCAUCACUUUUAUUGCUGAGACUCAGCUUAAUAAAUAAACCACAUCAUCGAAUCACCCAUGUACUAAAGUCAAGGAUAUUCUUUAGUAUCACGACCAUAAUUAUCCAUGCACUACGGGCCAAGAAUAUUUGUGUAUUCAUCAAUGGUCAUGAUCAUGCCAACAACUGUCCAUCAAUGCACUACGGGCCAAUGAGGACUUUUAUCACAUCAUUUGUAACAUUACGGUCAUGAUUACACCGAAUAAUCCCUGGUCAUAAUCAUACCAAGUCCAUCUAUGCACUACAGGCCACAGAUGACUUUCAAAAAUAUAAACAUGAGGAUGAUGACAAUGAUAUAAGAAUUCAAUAAAACAAGUUCAAGAAUUAAUUUAUCCAGGAACUAAUAAUAUCCAAAUUGUUAACAUGAUACUUCUUUGUAAAGUAAAAUUCAAGAAUGCUCAGAAGAAUAUUUUCAUAAAAAGAUACUGGAUGAAGCGCAAAUAUCAAUGAUAUUCCACUAAUUUCAUGGAGUAUAGAAAUCAAAACUUUUAACCAACUGAGUAUAAUAAAGAAUGGAAUAACAACAGAAAUCACCAUGCAUGCGAUACUUCGCAUAGACAGGUUAUUCCAACAGAAUAAUAAAUAACGAAACCAGGUCAGGUGAAAUUCACACCGACAGGAUGUUCCAACAAAAUAAUAAAGAAUAGAAUAACAACAGAAAUCACCAUGCAUGUGGUACUUCACAUAGACAGGUUAUUCCAACAGAAUAAUAAAUACGAAAUAAUAAAUAAUGAAAUCAGGUCAGGUGAAAUUCACACCGACAGGAUAUUCCGACAAAAUAUUAAAGAAUGGAAUAAUAGAAGAAUUUCACCAUGUAUGCAGUACUUUGCAUUUACAGGUUAUUCCAACAUAAUAAUAAAGAAUGGAAUAACAAAAGGAUUUCACCAAAUAUAGGGGAGUCCGCGUAUACAGGUUAUUCCAACAGAAUAAUAAAGAAUGGAACAACAGAAGGAUUUUACCAAGUAUAGAGGAGUCCGCGUAUAUAGGUUAUUCCAACAGAAUAAUAAAAGAUUGAAUGACAGAAGUUCUCUUCAUGAAUACAAAAGAAUAACACCCCUUACCUUUAGAAAAUCUGGAUAUUGAAAAAGUGAAGUAGCAGAAUACUUUUCUUCUUUCUCUCUACAGUUUCUCUCUCAAGAGUUUCAGUGAAUUCGUAAGAAAUAAUGAAGGAAUGAGC
rnacentral:lncRNA from 1 species